AUUGAACGCUGGCGGCAUGCUUUACACAUGCAAGUCGAACGGUAACAGGGAGCUUGCUCCGCUGACGAGUGGCGAACGGGUGAGUAAUGCGUCGGAACGUGCCGAGUAGUGGGGGAUAACGCAGCGAAAGUUGUGCUAAUACCGCAUACGUACUGAGGUAGAAAGUGGGGGACCUUCGGGCCUCACGCUAUUCGAGCGGCCGACGUCUGAUUAGCUAGUAGGUGAGGUAAAGGCUCACCUAGGCGACGAUCAGUAGCGGGUCUGAGAGGAUGAUCCGCCACACUGGGACUGAGACACGGCCCCGACUCCUACGGGAGGCAGCAGUGGGGAAUUUUGGACAAUGGGCGAAAGCCUGAUCCAGCCAUGCCGCGUGUCUGAAGAAGGCCUUCGGGUUGUAAAGGACUUUUGUCGGGGAGGAAAUCCCCAGCGCUAAUACCGCUGGGGGAUGACAGUACCUGAAGAAUAAGCACCGGCUAACUACGUGCCAGCCGCCGCUGUAAUAC
rnacentral:rRNA from 1 species